UACGGAGGGUGCGAGCGUUGUCCGGAAUUACUGGGCGUAAAGCGCGCGCAGGCGGCUUCUUAAGUCCAUCGGUGAAAUGCCGGGGCUCAACCCCGAGCCGGCCGAGGAUACUGGGAGGCUGGAGACGAGUAGAGGCAAGCGGAAUUCCGGGUGUAGCGGUGGAAUGCGUAGAGAUCCGGAAGAACACCGGAGGCGAAGGCGGCUUGCUGGGCUUGGUCUGACGCUGAGGCGCGAAAGCGUGGGGAGCGAACAGG
rnacentral:rRNA from 1 species